CGCACAUCUAUACAUGCACUAUCUGCUAGGGCUUCUCCCAUGGUGAACGGACUGCUCGUCUCGGCUUCGCAGAAUCGCAGGCGAGGGCGCCGGUGACGGCUGCCAGCUGCUCCUGGGGCUACUGAAAGGAGCGGCCGGGGCACGUGGUUGAUGCUUGAGACAGCUGCGGAGCGGCGUGCGCGAGUGCAGGGCAGGCAGUAGCCAGAGCGGCGGGAGAGGACCUAGGACACGUUGUGUUCAUGUAAUCAUCUUUAACAACGACUUGUGCAGAUAAAGAUGAAAAAUCUAGGGGAAGAUUUUGGUGAGGAAGAAGAACAAGGUUUUGACUUUUGAGGUUGCUCCAUUCCAUAACGUCGAGCUUCAUAAAAAUGGAGAAGGGACUUCUUGCGGAUUCAUCAUCUAUGAUCUCACGUGUUACAUUUCUCAUCCCAUUUUUUGUAGAACAUAUUCAAUGAGUUUGACUCUACUACUCUUGGAUAAGUGGCAACAUUCACAAUGUAGUUAUACAUGAGUUUAUCAUCAUAAUUUAAAUAUGGUUUUCUAAUCUUUCACAAGUGCAACAAAACAGAUAUGAUAUGCUACUAAGCUUUCCUAUUAGACUGUCAAUGCUACUUAUUGUAGAUAUAUUGCUAUACUCUUAAGCUCUCAUAUUAGAAUUUUAACAUUCCUUAAGUACUUCCCUUUACUCCCAGCAUUCUAGGUAUGAUGAUCAGGGUCAGGUUUCACUGAUUAACUGAUGGAUUUGUGCAAAUAUUUUGAGAUCAACUGAAACUUAAAUUCAACUUCUUGAUUUCCCAAUUUAGUGAACCAGAUCAAAGAGUUGUGUAGCCAUUAGGUGGACAGCUUCACACUGGUGUAAGUAUUCAUGACGCUGUAAUAUAAUACUUCUUUGCCUUCUACUUAUAUUUGCUACUGUAAAGGAUAAACCAUCUAUCUUGGUGUGUCAUUUUUUUAGGGAAGGUGUAUCAUUGUUGUAUUGUGUAAAUUGUAACCAAGCACAUGAAAGAUUUGGUAAAUGGUUCUGUUGGUCAAAAGUCAUUAUUCAUGUU